rfam:Arabis alpina cultivar Pajares chromosome 6, whole genome shotgun sequence.
ACGCAGGAGCCUCCCGGGCUAACCUGAUUAAUAUAAAUCAUGAAGAAUUAAGCCCUAAGCUCCUGCUAGAUUUAUUGACAUUCGUGUUGAAGUUUUGUCUCGUUUUAUCACCGGCUUAAUUGUGUCAAAGCAGUGUCUAGAUUU